UCCAGACUCCUACGGGAGGCAGCAGUGAGGAAUAUUGGUCAAUGGCCGGAAGGCUGAACCAGCCAAGUCGCGUGAGGGACGACUGCCCUAUGGGUUGUAAACCUCUUUUAUAAGGGAAGAAUAAAUGCUACGUGUAGCAUGAUGCCUGUACCUUAUGAAUAAGCCACGGCUAACUACGUGCCAGCAGCCGCGGUAAUACGUAGGUGGCAAGCGUUGUCCGGAUUUACUGGGUGUAAAGGGCGUGCAGCCGGGCUGACAAGUCAGAUGUGAAAUCCCGCGGCUCAACCGCGGAACUGCAUUUGAAACUGUCAGUCUUGAGUACCGGAGAGGUCAUCGGAAUUCCUUGUGUAGCGGUGAAAUGCGUAGAUAUAAGGAAGAACACCAGUGGCGAAGGCGGAUGACUGGACGGCAACUGACGGUGAGGCGCGAAAGCGUGGGGAGCAAACAGGAUUAGAUACCCCAGUA
rnacentral:rRNA from 1 species